CGGAACCGGAGCUAAUACCGGAUAAUAUAUUGAACCGCAUGGUUCAAUAGUGAAAGACGGUUUUGCUGUCACUUAUAGAUGGAUCCGCGCCGCAUUAGCUAGUUGGUAAGGUAACGGCUUACCAAGGCAACGAUGCGUAGCCGACCUGAGAGGGUGAUCGGCCACACUGGAACUGAGACACGGUCCAGACUCCUACGGGAGGCAGCAGGA
rnacentral:rRNA from 1 species